rnacentral:rRNA from 1 species
AGAGUUUGAUCCUGGCUCAGGAUGAACGCUAGCGACAGGCUUAACACAUGCAAGUCGAGGGGCAGCACAGGUAGCAAUACCGGGUGGCGACCGGCGCACGGGUGAGUAACGCGUAUGCAACUUGCCUAUCAGAGGGGGAUAACCCGGCGAAAGUCGGACUAAUACCGCAUGAAGCAGGGGCCCCGCAUGGGGAUAUUUGCUAAAGAUUCAUCGCUGAUAGAUAGGCAUGCGUUCCAUUAGGCAGUUGGCGGGGUAACGGCCCACCAAACCGACGAUGGAUAGGGGUUCUGAGAGGAAGGUCCCCCACAUUGGUACUGAGACACGGACCAAACUCCUACGGGAGGCAGCAGUGAGGAAUAUUGGUCAAUGGCCGAGAGGCUGAACCAGCCAAGUCGCGUGAGGGAUGAAGGUUCUAUGGAUCGUAAACCUCUUUUAUAAGGGAAUAAAGUGCGGGACGUGUCCCGUUUUGUAUGUACCUUAUGAAUAAGGAUCGGCUAACUCCGUGCCAGCAGCCGCGGUAAUACGGAGGAUCCGAGCGUUAUCCGGAUUUAUUGGGUUUAAAGGGUGCGUAGGCGGCCUUUUAAGUCAGCGGUGAAAGUCUGUGGCUCAACCAUAGAAUUGCCGUUGAAACUGGGGGGCUUGAGUAUGUUUGAGGCAGGCGGAAUGCGUGGUGUAGCGGUGAAAUGCAUAGAUAUCACGCAGAACCCCGAUUGCGAAGGCAGCUCACUGCCAAGCCAUUACUGACGCUGAUGCACGAAAGCGUGGGGAUCAAACAGGAUUAGAUACCCUGGUAGUCCACGCAGUAAACGAUGAUCACUAGCUGUUUGCGAUACACUGUAAGCGGCACAGCGAAAGCGUUAAGUGAUCCACCUGGGGAGUACGCCGGCAACGGUGAAACUCAAAGGAAU